CCCGGGAGGGGCACGCUGCGCGUGGUGUUAAGACCAGCACAGUUGCUAUAAAGUGAAAUGAUUAUCAACAGACUGUUGAAGUCGUCGAUGGUCUGGGACUGAUUAGUCAGCUAUAGAUACUCAACAAGAAUAGAGAGAAAUUGUUAGGUCGAGACACUGACUUGUCUUCACAUAAAUUCGACUUUAAAAUGUUUUAUUCAAAUUCAUGGACCAAGUGCUUGAUAUACCUUAUCUUUAUAACAAGUGGAAAUUCUGAAUGUCCCAAACCACAAGUGGAGAGAAAUCAAAAUGUCGUUCUAACGAAUGAUGCACUCCUAAAGAAUGAUUUUCCGGAGGGCUCGGAAGUAUUGUUUCAAUGUACCAACGGCUACAUGAAAGCUCAAGGAUCUGAAAGCAUCACCUGCACGAGUGGAGAGUGGAGCACCCUGGAAUUAAUCUGCAAAAAGAAGGACUGCGGUGUACCCAAGGAGAUGCCACAUUUGACAUAUGAGUUUGAUAAGGAAGGGACGCUUUUUGGUGCAUCAGCAAGAGCAAUUUGUGAUAAAGGCUAUCAAGUUCAGGGAUCAAGUUACAGGCAGUGUUAUGCCACAGGUUGGAGUGGAAGAUCAAGAUGUGAAGUGGUAACUUGUGAAGAACCUAUUGAUAUAAUGAAUGGCAUGAUCUCAGAGAAGCCUGACAAACAGUUUCCAGAGUAUGGGGAUGUCAUACAGUAUUCCUGUGAUGAAGGUUACACCCUCAUUGGAAACAUAUCCAUUGAGUGUGAAGAAGAUGGUGAAUACUCAUUCCUUCCUGAAUGCAAAGAUGUCAAUGACAUUCCUUUGAAACCAACAACCAUAUCAGCAUCAAUAACAACAUCGACUGUUCCACCCACAAUACAAGGGACGCAUCAUAGCAUUGGUGAACAUGACACCAACACAGCUACAAAUGUCAGUGAUAUUCCUUUGAAAUCAACAUCAAUAACAACAUCGACUGUUCCACCCACAAUACAAGUUUCAGGGAGGCAUCAUGAAAUUGGUGAACAUGACAUCAACGCAGCUACAAGGAAUGCAGCAGCCAAGGGAAGUGUGAUCGGCAUAGUCAUAGUCAUAGAUACCUUGUAACUGGAGAUUUCUUCAAAACGAUUGCCUACAGUUACCGUGUAGGGGACUGCAAGGUUGGGUGACCAGGGCCAUCUAGGACUGCCUCCUGGAGGAAUUCAGGCUUGUGAAGGCUACCUAUGUCCUGCAUAACUUCAUGAGGAUGGACAUAAGGACCAGAAGGGGAUCUGCAGCUCGCCACCUUGUGCCAGAGGAGAAGCCUGCUGCUCUGCAGGAUGUUUUAAUGAUGGGGUCCAACAAUGCAGCAAGAGAGGCAAUCUGUGUGUGAGAGAUCUUCACCGGCCUCCUUCUUUGAAGAGGGUGCUGUACCCUGGCAACACCAUAGACUACACUAUGCACAACCUAAGGCUCUUUUGAGAGCCAUCCACAUUUCAAUAAGAGUAUUCUUCCUUUUACUUAGCUAUGUAAACUGCAGUUAUUAAAUUCCCAGUUUCUCUCCCUUUGAUUUCUACUUCUCAGGUGAGGGUGCUGUUUAGGUAAGGGUGUGAUGUCUGUUCAAAAACAAAGUCACCCAUAAUAAAAACAUUUUGAACAAUUAGGCACCUUAUACCCCACACCUACACACAUUAAAGUGGCUCCUUCCACUUUCAAAGAAUAGGCAAGAGGGCCAACCAUAGAGAAUAGUAAGACACUUCAUUAUUUCUAUAACUACGCUAUAUUGUUUGUCCUCGUGUGUAUGCAUGUUUUUCAGCAUAAAAUACUCUUUGGCCACUUAGUGUGGACACCAGGUGAGGCCACACACACAGAUUCCUGUUGAAGGCAGGCACUUUAACGACCUUAUUUUCUCAAUAACAGUCUCUCUCCUUCACUUCAUCCCUCUCUCCCCUUCUCCCUAAAUCCUCUAGGUUAUAUCAGCCGGUGUUGGUGAACCCCUCCCGCAUCUGAAAUUGCUACAUAGUGCACAGCAUGAUCAGAGGCAUGUUUUGAUAUGAGAGAGUAUGUCAACCCCCAGUCCAGUCAUCGCCAUCUCACCUGCUCUUAAGAUAACCUUCGGGCUGACUGGGAGCCCAAGGCUGGUUAGGAGACACCACUAGAGACACUAUUAUGUAAUUGUGAUGAACUGAGAGAAUAUUAGGGUAGCAAUGUGAUUCAUUAAUCAUAUGCUGUCUUCCCUGCUCCUCUGUUUGACCUCUUUCCCUUUCUGUCUUUUACACCUCCCUUGCCACCUUUUUUCCUCUGUUUUUAUAAUGCAGACCAGAUGUGCAUUGAAGUACAGAUUGAACUUGUAUUUACAAUAUAAUUUUACAAUGAUAAUAUU